AAAAAAUCUAAAAUCAAGACUAUUUAAAAAAGCUCAAGAAGUUGGUUCUCCCUCUUCUCUUUCUAAUUACUUAAUAGCUCGGUCAAACUUCACUGUUCUUAAUCCUCAAUGCUAUAGGAACUACCUCCUUCGAUGCAGGAUACGUUUUUCAAAGGACCCUAAACAGUUUUACAGCUUCGUAAACAGUAAGCGUAGAACGUCCGCACAUCCAUCCUCGCUAUCAUUCUUGAAUAUGCCGGCAAACAAUGAUCAGGCAAUCGCCGAUCUUUUUGCAAAAUUUUUUCAAACCACAUAUUCCCAGGAAAGCUACCCAGGUCAUAUGUAUC
rnacentral:lncRNA from 1 species